rnacentral:rRNA from 1 species
UACAGAGGUCUCAAGCGUUGUUCGGAUUCAUUGGGCGUAAAGGGUGUGUAGGUGGCGCCGUAAGUCGGGUGUGAAAUUUCGGAGCUUAACUCCGAAACUGCAUUCGAUACUGCGGUGCUUGAGGACUGGAGAGGAGACUGGAAUUCAUGGUGUAGCAGUGAAAUGCGCAGAUAUCAGGAGGAACACCGGUGGCGAAGGCGGGUCUCUGGGCCGUAACUGACGCUGAGGAGCGAAAGCGUGGGGAGCGAACAGG